rnacentral:rRNA from 1 species
GAUGAACGCUGGCGGCGCGCCUAACACAUGCAAGUCGAACGGCAUCCCUCCUCGGAGGGAAGCGAGUGGCGAACGGCUGAGUAACACGUGGAGAACCUGCCCCCUCCCCCGGGAUAGCCGCCCGAAAGGACGGGUAAUACCGGAUACCCCGGGGUGCCGCAUGGCACCCCGGCUAAAGCCCCGACGGGAGGGGAUGGCUCCGCGGCCCAUCAGGUAGACGGCGGGGUGACGGCCCACCGUGCCGACAACGGGUAGCCGGGUUGAGAGACCGACCGGCCAGAUUGGGACUGAGACACGGCCCAGACUCCUACGGGAGGCAGCAGUGGGGAAUCUUGCGCAAUGGGGGGAACCCUGACGCAGCGACGCCGCGUGCGGGACGGAGGCCUUCGGGUCGUAAACCGCUUUCAGCAGGGAAGAGUCAAGACUGUACCUGCAGAAGAAGCCCCGGCUAACUACGUG